rnacentral:lncRNA from 1 species
CUCAUGACAAGCCACUUCUGCUCACAAGUUCCUAAUCAAGAGUUGUACAGCAGGAAGGAAAGCAAAGGACACCAACUAAUGAGAAAGUCACUAGUGGCAUAGAAGCUGCAAGGCAGAAGACCUUUCCAACAUGUUAAGAGCCAAAAGAGUACCUUUUAGUGUUUGUUUUGAUUAUAUUUGCCUGUAACCCAGCAACUGGGCCCAGAUGCCAGGAGUCCAAAGAGAACACUGCUGAUGACCGGUGUAGGAAGAGAGGAAUCGCUUUUGUGUCCUUCCUCAAGAGGUUCUUCUCAAGAUUUUCCAGAAGCUGGAAAUGCUCCCGAAGAGCAACAAAUCUUUCUGCAGUGAUGUCAUUCAUGCUUCCUCCAAGAACUAAAAGCCUAGACACCAAAGUCACCAACCUCGGUCCAGGGCGUCAUGCAGUAGAGAAGAUGGAUAGACUGAGAGCAUGCGCAUUUGAUCUGUGCAUAAACAAAACCACAGAAGCUGAAGAGAAGAGAGAAUGUUUUAAGUCAAACAGGUUCCAAAGACCUGGGAGCAGCACACCACCAUGCCCAGAUUUAAGUUUACA